GCUACUUUCUCAACUGUUCUUUUUUGACUUAUUUUUUCCAAAUUAGCUCUGGAGGCUAAGUUGUUCGCGCAAAUAAGUUAAAACGAACAGAAAGCCUCCCAACUGGGAGGUUUUUUUAU
rnacentral:ncRNA from 1 species